GAUGAACGCUGGCGGCGUGCCUAAUACAUGCAAGUCGAGCGAAUGGAUUAAGAGCUUGCUCUUAUGAAGUUAGCGGCGGACGGGUGAGUAACACGUGGGUAACCUGCCCAUAAGACCGGGAUAACUCCGGGAAACCGGGGCUAAUACCGGAUAACAUUUUGAACCGCAUGGUUCGAAAUUGAAAGGCGGCUUCGGCUGUCACUUAUGGAUGGACCCGCGUCGCAUUAGCUAGUUGGUGAGGUAACGGCUCACCAAGGCAACGAUGCGUAGCCGACCUGAGAGGGUGAGCGGCCACACUGGGACUGAGACACGGCCCAGACUCCUACGGGAGGCAGCAGUAGGGAAUCUUCCGCAAUGGACGAAAGUCUGACGGAGCAACGCCGCGUGAGUGAUGAAGGCUUUCGGGUCGUAAAACUCUGUUGUUAAGGAAGAACAAGUGCUAGUUGAAUAAGCUGGCACCUUGACGGUACCUAACCAGAAAGCCACGGCUAACUACGUGCCAGCAGCCGCCGUAA
rnacentral:rRNA from 1 species